CAAGCCCUGGAAACGGGGUCUAAUACCGGAUAUGACUGUCCAUCGCAUGGUGGAUGGUGUAAAGCUCCGGCGGUGCAGGAUGAGCCCGCGGCCUAUCAGCUUGUUGGUGAGGUAGUGGCUCACCAAGGCGACGACGGGUAGCCGGCCUGAGAGGGCGACCGGCCACACUGGGACUGAGACACGGCCCAGACUCCUACGGGAGGCAGCAGUGGGGAAUAUUGCACAAUGGGCGAAAGCCUGAUGCAGCGACGCCGCGUGAGGGAUGACGGCCUUCGGGUUGUAAACCUCUUUCAGCAGGGAAGAAGCGAAAGUGACGGUACCUGCAGAAGAAGCGCCGGCUAACUACGUGCCAGCAGCCGCGGUAAUACGUAGGGCGCAAGCGUCGUCCGGAAUUAUUGGGCGUAAAGAGCUCGUAGGCGGCUUGUCACGUCGGUUGUGAAAGCCCGGGGCUUAACCCCGGGUCUGCAGUCGAUACGGGCAGGCUAGAGUUCGGUAGGGGAGAUCGGAAUUCCUGGUGA
rnacentral:rRNA from 1 species